AACGAACGCUGGCGGCAGGCUUAACACAUGCAAGUCGAGCGCCCCGCAAGGGGAGCGGCAGACGGGUGAGUAACGCGUGGGAACGUGCCCUUUGGUUCGGAACAACUCCGGGAAACUGGAGCUAAUACCGGAUAAGCCCUUCGGGGGAAAGAUUUAUCGCCAAAGGAUCGGCCCGCGUCUGAUUAGCUAGUUGGUGAGGUAAUGGCUCACCAAGGCGACGAUCAGUAGCUGGUCUGAGAGGAUGAUCAGCCACACUGGGACUGAGACACGGCCCAGACUCCUACGGGAGGCAGCAGUGGGGAAUAUUGGACAAUGGGCGCAAGCCUGAUCCAGCCAUGCCGCGUGAGUGAUGAAGGCCUUAGGGUUGUAAAGCUCUUUUGUCCGGGAAGAUAAUGACUGUACCGGAAGAAUAAGCCCCGGCUAACUUCGUGCCAGCCGCCGCGGUAA
rnacentral:rRNA from 1 species